AGCACAGGUGAAGGUAAUUCAGCUGUGCCCCCAGAAGGGGUGGAGCUUGAAUCCACUUCUCCCAGAUCCCAAUUAUAGGCCGACCAGCACUAAGUUAAUAUCUUUUUCUGGAGGUAGCUCUUUUGUGGUGAGUCCUUGACAUUGGUGAGCACCUAUCUUGAAGGCCUCGGAGUUGGUGUCACAAAGUUGAGGAAUGAGUCUGAGUUUGACCCUCAGGAGGCAAGGCUGGAUUAAAUACUUGCCACAGAAGGAUGGGGCUUCCAGACCUUCCUGGUGCAAUGGCUCUGCAAUGUCAUAUUUCUGAACAACAUGUAGCUGACAUAGAAGUGAAUCAGCUGGUGGAACAGAGAAGCUGAGAGAUGAUGCAACAAACCUGAUGCAGCUACUAGAAGUACCAUUUCCUUGGGCAGGACAUGGUUGGGGUCAGAAGCUGAAGGUGGGCUGAAGAAAGGACAGACACAUUUGGAAGUGAGGGAAAGUUCACCUGAACAUAAAACAAAUCCAUGGUUCAUGUACAACUUGUGAAUAAAAUUCCAUCAGUUUUUCCUCAUAUCAUGAAGUGGAUGGAGGAUGUUGAGCUUUGAACUAACUAUGAGGGCCUGGAUUCACUACUGAUGGCAGAGCUGCACUGGAGUAAUCUCUCUGGCCAUAAAGUAACAGAUUUAGCAGAGCAAUGAAGGCUAACACAGUCUUGUAAUGUUCAGGCAGUAAUUAGCAGAAUAUCUGUGCAUAUGCACAAAAUCACUUGAGUCAACAGCAUUUGUUUGAUGGUAAGUGAAAGUUAAGAGAUGCUAUGCUAAAGCUAAUAUUUGAUGUAAGAAUUAAGAGAACUUUACCUUCUUGAACAAUGGGGAAUAUGCUUGGAAACAACUGGAGUUGUUUUAGUUACGCUGCAGGAAGCAGCUCUAGUAAGUUAGAAAAUUAUAGAUGCUAUUUUUUAUUACCUUUAUCUCAAUGUAACAUAAAAAAAUUAUUUUCAAAUUAAAUAAUAGAUUCAAAAUAGUUGAACAUUAGAGUAGAAUACAUAUAGUGAUAAUUCAUAUUUUUAAGCACCAUGUUUGUACACAAGGAGAAAAUCAUCUAUUUGACAGAGUCAGUCAUUGUAUCACAGCUUUCAAAUGAAAGCCACAACACUGUUCUUUUCUCAUACAGUGAUUGUAUAGAAAUAAGCUGAAUAUUUAAUGUAUUUUGUCUGUUUUGCAAGUUAAGUAUACAGCAGCAGUAUGUUUUUUUCUCCACUCUAAUCUUUAUUUCUCUGAUGUCAGUUAGUGGCAAUAUUAGUUAGAAAACAAAAAAUGAGGGCUAUUAUGGUUAAAACCUGGAAGAAAUAUUGAUUUUUGGAAUUCUUUAUCAUCUGAAAGUACAAUGACAAAUACACUCUUCAGCCAUAAGUUUUGCAUGUAGUAAUAUAUCCAUGAAAUUAGUGAACUAGAUUUUCUUCCCAUGUGGGGUGUCUGUGCAGCAAGCUUUUAGUAUCUCAAGGAACUAGAUAUAUUUUUGUAGCUGCUCAUGAGAGUAGCAUGACACUUGUGCUAAUUGAAUGGUACUGGAUUGUUAGCUUUAAUCUCUGUGAGGUUUCCAUGGUGAUAUCGCCAGAUGAGAAUAUGGACAUUACAACAAUUUCUUUGUGCUGAUAUGAUUCUGCACUGUGUACUUAGCUGAGGGUGAAAUCCCAGCUUCAUUGAAAAUGAAUGGGAGUUUGAUGUUGAUUUCAGUGAAUUUGUUAUGGUCUCAAUCAUGACUAGCUUUGGAAACAUAGUCUGAAGUCAUAAAAUAAAAAGUCAUCAGACUGUGCCGAUGCUGAAACCCAUUCCCAGGCUGGCAAUAUCUCCACAAUAAAUAAGUUAUGCAAGCCAUUUCCCUCAUAACUCAGACCUUUAACUUGUGCUUACUUGAUUUCAUUGCAUUGGAGCCUGUAGAAUGGAGUAUGACCCUACUGCAUAAAGGAUCGUAAAAGUGUGGAAGAUGGUUCUCUUUCAGAGACCUUACAGCUGGUUACACAAGAACUUCUGAGAAGUGGGAAAGAACAGGUGUAAGCAAGACUCAAUUGCAGUUUCAUAGAAGAAAGAACUCAUUUUCCUGAGCACCUGCAGAGAGAUCGUAUUUCAGUCAACUUUUUCUACUGUCCAUCAGCAUUAAAAAGCCUUCAGGCUGCCCUAUAGUUAGCUCUUACCCCAAGUCAUCCUGAGCCCACACCUGUUGGGGUCCCAGCUCUGUAAAGGGUCACCAGGCUGGAAGAUGAGGGGAAAGGAGCUGUCAGCUGAAGCCUCCGAAGUGGAGAGUGAGGAAGAACUUCUUGCCUGCCCUGGAGUGUAUUUUGCUUUUGCUUGUGUCCAGUUCAACACAGAAUAACCUGGGAUCAUCUAGGUCCUGUACUCAGUAAGGUAUUACAUUUGCAUGUUCUGAAUUGCUUGCUGGAAGUACUUUCCAUUAACAGUAAAGGGUGCCAGAGUGCCUAAUUUAGGUGCCAAUGCACCUUUCUAAAUACCCAGUGACACCAUCUUGGUCAAGGCCUGGUCAUUCUUCUGUGUUAAGAUGUUUAAAUUCCAGGGCAAAUCACUAUCUCAUCAGAAUUUAGACAGCCCUAACCUAACUUGAAACCUUAGUCAAUUAUCUGGGAAACACAUAAUCCUUCUCUUUCCAGAUAUAAACCUGAAAUAUUUAUCAAUCAUUUAUGUGGUUUCUGUCUUCUCUUCUGAUAAUACUUCUUUCUCUCCCAAGUAUACAAACGUUUCAUUGCCCCUAGCCCUGCCAACCAUGGAUUUUCCUUGCUGGCUUAGCUUCCCUUAUGAAAUAUCAACACCUUACAAUUACUCUUGAUUGCCAUCUACUUUCCUUUCUCAACAUUAGUUGUACAUUGUAACUUUUUCUUCUUAACCGCUGACUUUCUUUCUCCAGGAACUGGAUUGCAAGCAAAGUUGUGCUUUUGCUUGUUGGUAGACUUACAGCUUUUUGGCAGUCUACUAUAUUUUGUUACAAAUUUCUCUCUGUUAUUCCCACAUUUGUACAUUUUCCUCCCAAAACUCAAUUUUGUCAGCACUGGGGAAAUAACCUUUUUGUGGUUAAGGCUGUCAGCAGAAGACGGCUUAGAUCAAUGGCAGCUAUGAAGCUGAAGUGGAAACAGGCAAAUAUUGCCAGCAGUGAGAUAUUUAUACAUCUCAUCUCAGCCAAAGGGUAUGGCAUUUCUCUCAUCAGGUUUUUAAUAACGAGGUGCUUGGGGUAGGCAGUAUAUGUUAAAUCUUGUGAGAUGUCCUCCUGUUACACCAAACAUACCUAUGGAAACAUGGAAUGUUUGCUGUUUGCUUGCACUAAGAUGGACAGAGCCAGUUGCUGUUUGACCUUGUUUUAUAUUGAGAGGUACUUACAUCUUGGCACAGCUCUUUUUGAGUAUUUUGUAUGUUUAAAUCCACAAAUCUGGGCUUUUGCCGAGCCAAGAUUAAACUAUUCUUUUCUGGCCACGUUCCUCAA